AAGACACAGAGAGUGCACCCAGAACACAUACCCCCAGGAGACCUGCAGGGGCCAGGGCUGCCUGACAGACCCCUCCACGCCCCAUGUCCACAGGGUGAUGCCUCAUCACAACCGUAAAGGAAUGUCAAGAGGACAGAAUUCUGAGAACUUGGGGAGGAGGUGCCUCGAUUUUUCUGGAAGAAGGUGGCAGAAAGAGCAAAUCAAGCUAAGAGGGCCUGCUAGCUGGUAAGUAGCUCUGCAAAGAAUGGAGAAAGAAGGGCCCCACAGUCAAAGAUGCCCAGGAUAAUUCCUAUAGGACCUGCUUCAUUUCCCAGGCAAGGUGUGUCAUCAGCUUAUAUGCAAAUGAGGUCUUAACAAAUUAUUUUUAAAGUCAUUGGAAAAAAAUGCUUAGCUCGCCCAAUUUUGGUGGGUUCAGGACUUAUGUUCCAACAAUGCUUAUUACCCUGUAAAUCUGGACAUAAAACCAGCUCCAGUCAGGGUUUGAAUCAGCAUGAAUUCUAGGUCAGUGUAGGUCCAAAGAAGAGGUUUGUGCAGCCGGGGCUGAGGACACAGCAGCCUUAUCGCUAACUGUGGUUCUGGCCAGGGCUCUGCACAAGGCAGGAGCAGCAAGCUAGUUACACAGGGCCAGUGCCCUCAACCUGCUCUCCUGUUUUUCCUGUCCUUCUCCCUUCUACCAGGUGGCUCUUUCCUGCUCAGGACAGUGCUCUUGGACAGACCCUCCAGUGGGCACUUAAGAGGUAAGGCGCAGGUCAGGUGUGGUGGCUCACGCCUGUAAUCCCAGCACUUUGGGAGGCUGAGACCAGUGGAUCACUUGAGCUCAAGAGUUCAAGACCAGCCUGGCCAACGCGGUGAAACGCUGUCUCUAAUAAAAAUACAACAAUUAGCUGGGUGUGGUGGGGUGGACACCUGUAAUCCCAGCUACUCAGGAGGCUGAGGCAGGGAGAAUCGCUCGAACCCGGGAGGCAGAGGUUGCAGUGAGCCGAGAUCGUGCCAGUGCACUCCAGCCCAGGUGACAGAGCGGGACUCCAUCUCAAAAAAAAAAAAAAAAAAAUUAGCGUGGUGGCAUGCACCUGUAAUCCCAGCUUCUUGGGAAACCAACACACAAUCACUUGAACCAAGGAGGCAGAGGUUGCGGCGAGCCAAGAUCGCACCACUGCACUCCAGCUUGGGCCACAGAGUGAGACCCUGUCUCAAAAAAAAAAAAAAAAAAAAAAAGGGUAAGGGAACAAAAGGAGCUGGUAGAAGUGCAGUUCUCUAGGUGGGCAUAGUGGUGCGUGCUUGAGUCCUAGCUACUUAGGAGACUGAGAUGGGAGGAUCACUUGAGCCCAGGAAUUCGAAACCAGCCACCGCGGCAUAGUGAGACCCCACCUCAAAAAAAAAAACAACAAAGAAAAACCUUCCAUGAUGCGAUUAUUACGCAUUGCACGCCUGUACCAAAAUAUCUCAUGCACCCCUACUAUGUACCCACAAAAAUUUUAAAAAGAAAAUUUUAAUGCAGCAAGUAUAUUUAAAAAAAAAAAGAAAAAAGUGCAGUCCUUAGCCUAAAGGGAAAGGACUUUUACCACGCUUCAGGCAGUUGACUUUCCCCUCUGGGUCCCUGCAAGUCCAAGAGGAGGAAAGCAGCCCUCAGGGAGGUUCUGAGCUCCCCUAGGAAGAAUGAUGCAUCUAGCCCAGUGGCAUCUCGUAUUAAUUAACCUACUGUACUAGAGCAGGCUUGGCUAACCAAGUUCAUGGUCUCAUUAAAUCCCUGUACAGGCCUGCCUCUUCCAUCACAGCCUUACAGCUUCUCAUGACAGAAGGUUCCUGAUGUUGCAAAUACCUGGGAUUUACUGUCACCUAGACCCCCCGGGUUCUGCUGAGACAUGAGAUCACAGAACAAGGGGAGCCACCUAAUCCAGUUCUCCCACUUCCCAGUCCUAGGAAACUGAAGCCCAGAGAUGCCAAAUGAUUGAGGUCCGAGGUCAUCCAGCAUCAGAGCCAGGAUUACACAAUCACUUAAAAUGCAGCUCAACUGUGAAAGUGAGGAGGGAGAAUAUAAGUGUGAGUUCAUGACCCGCCAUCCUCAGGGGAAGCCUGCAUCAUGUCACCCCCGCCAGGUGACGCACGUGCACAUGCCUCUGAUCUAUCUACCCUGCCAGCUACAGAAAUCAAGACAAAGCCUGGAAUCUACCAACCUACCAGCAUCUCCAGCAGGAAGGGUGGAGAGGCAAAAACAUCAGGAUUAAAGCCAGGUGGCCACAGUGCUGCA